AGUGAACGCUGGCGGCAGGCCUAACACAUGCAAGUCGAACGGCAACACAGUAAGAGCUUGCUCUUACGGGUGGCGGGUGGCGGGUGGGUGAGGAAUGUAUCGGAUCCUUCUUUUUCGGGGGGGAUAACGUGAGAAAGCUUCUGCUAAUACAGAAUCUCUUCAACGGGUGAAAGCAGGGGAUAUUGGCACCUUGGGUGUUUGAUUGAGCUGCGGUCGGACUAGCUAGUUGGGGGGGUAAAGGCCCACCAAGCCGACGAUACGUAGCUGGUCUGAGAGGAUGAUCGGCCACACUGGAACUGAGACACGGUCCAGACUCCUACGGGAGGCAGCAGUGGGGAAUAUUGGGCAAUGGGCGCAAGCCUGAUCCAGCCAUACCGCGUGGGUGAAGAAGGCCUUCGGGUUGUAAAGCCCUUUUGUUGGGAAAGAAAAGCAGCAGGUUAAUACCCCGCUGUUCUGACGGUACCCAAAGAAUAAGCACCGGCUAACUUCGUG
rnacentral:rRNA from 1 species